CCUACGGGUGGCUGCAGUGAGGAAUAUUGGUCAAUGGGCGGAAGCCUGAACCAGCCAAGUAGCGUGCAGGAUGACGGCCCUACGGGUUGUAAACUGCUUUUAUACGGGAAUAACGCGCCUUACGUGUAGGGCUUUGCAUGUACCGUAUGAAUAAGGACCGGCUAAUUCCGUGACAGCAGCCGCGGUAAUACGGAAGGUCCGGGCGUUAGCCGGUUUUAUUGGGUUUAAAGGGAGCGUAGGCCGCAUGUUAAGUGUGGUGUGAAAUGUCCGGGCUCAGCCCGGGCCUUGCAGCGCGUACUGGCGUGCUAGAGUCCGCGGAAAGCAGGCGGAAGUCGUGGUGUAGCGGUGAAAUGCUUAGAUAUGACGAAGAACCCCGAUGGCGAAGGCAGCUUGCUGCAGCGGAACUGACGCUGAGGCUCGAAAGCGCGGGUAUCGAACAGGAUUAGAUACCCUAGUAGUC
rnacentral:rRNA from 1 species